rnacentral:ncRNA from 2 species
UUAGACCGUCGUGAGACAGGUUA